UUAUAGUUGCGCAGGCAAUUUGUUGACUCUAGAGAACCUCGGGCAAAUAGUACAUCCCCGUGACGGCGACUUUGCAUUCGGAUGUCAUCCAUAUCAACUUUUGAUGCCAGUUUCUGCACCUACCAUGGUGACCACGGGUAAUGGGGACUCAGGGUUACAUUCCAUGCAUGGACCCUGAGAAACGGUUACCACAUGCAAGGAAGGCAGCAGGCGCCCAAAUGACUUACUUCCGACGCGGGAAGGUAGUGACGA